rnacentral:rRNA from 1 species
AGUGAAGCGGGAUGAGCUCAAAUUUAAAAUCUGGCUGGUUUACUAGUCCGAAUUGUAGUUUAAAGAAGCGUUUUCGGUGGCAGCCUGGGUAUAAAUCCUUUGGAAUAGGGUAUCAUAGAGGGUGAGAAUCCCGUCUUUGACUCAGUGAAUGCUACUAUGUGAUACGUUUUCAAAGAGUCGAGUUGUUUGGGAAUGCAGCUCAAAAUGGGUGGUAAAUUUCAUCUAAAGCUAAAUAUUGGCGAGAGACCGAUAGCGAACAAGUACCGUGAGGGAAAGAUGAAAAGAACUUUGAAAAGAGAGUUAAACAGUACGUGAAAUUGUUGAAAGGGAAACGUUUGACACCAGUCAUGCGGGUGGAAAAUCAGUCUUUUAGAGUAGGGAGUGGUGGGGGUUCAGACCGCAAGGCUGGCCUUUAUCUCAUCUCUGCGCUAAUGGAUGCACUUUUUCAUUUGCAGGUCAACAUCAGUUUCUUCUGCUGGACAAAACUCCGAGAGAAGGUAGCAGCUUUGGCUGUGUUAUAGCUCUGGAGCGAUACAGUGGAGGGGACUGAGGUUUUCGCAGUGUGUGCUCUCGGGCAAGGUUGAUUGGGUGCUAUGUGAUCGUUCGGUGUACAAUGCAUGCAUUUUGCGCCGUGUCUUUUGCAUACUCGCCUGACUCGACUCUUCCACGCUUAGGAUGUUGACUUAAUGGUUUUAAACGACC